CGUAUCCAACCUGCCGAUGACUCGGGGAUAGCCUUUCGAAAGAAAGAUUAAUACCCGAUGGCAUAGUUCUUCCGCAUGGUAGAACUAUUAAAGAAUUUCGGUCAUCGAUGGGGAUGCGUUCCAUUAGGUUGUUGGCGGGGUAACGGCCCACCAAGCCUUCGAUGGAUAGGGGUUCUGAGAGGAAGGUCCCCCACAUUGGAACUGAGACACGGUCCAAACUCCUACGGGAGGCAGCAGUGAGGAAUAUUGGUCAAUGGGCGAUGGCCUGAACCAGCCAAGUAGCGUGAAGGAUGACUGCCC
rnacentral:rRNA from 1 species